CUGCCCUGGAGACGUGGACAACCCCGGGAAACUGGGGCUAAUCCGCGAUAGAUCAAGGCUCCUGGAACGGGCCUUGGUCGAAAAGGGUGGGCAAGUUUGCUUUGCCCAUUCCGCUUCAGGAUGGGGCUGCGGCCGAUCAGGUUGUUGGUGGGGUAAUGGCCCACCAAGCCUAUAACCGGUACGGGCCCUGAGAGGAGGGGCCCGGAGAUGGACACUGAGAAAAGGGUCCAGGCCCUACGGGGCGCAGCAGGCGCGAAACCUUCGCAAUGCGCGAAAGCGCGACGAGGCCACUCCGAGUGCCGCUCGCUGAGAGCGGCUUUUCCCAGGUCUAAAUAGCCUGGGGAAUAAGGGGAGGGCAAGCCUGGUGUCAGCCGCCGCGGUAAUACCAGCUCCUCGAGUGGUCGGGACAAUUAUUGGGCCUAAAGCAUCCGUAGCCGGUUCUGUAGGUCCUCUGUCAAAUCCAACGGCCCAACCGUUGGGCUGCAGGGGAUACCGCAGGACUAGGAGGCAAGAGAGGCCGAUGGUACUCCGUAGGUAGGGGUAAAAUCCUUUGAUCUACGGAAGACCACCAAUGGCGAAGGCGGUCGGCCAGAGCGCGCUCGACGGUGAGGGAUGAAAGCUGGGGGAGCGAACCGGAUUAGAUACCCGGGUAGUCCCAGCCGUAAACGAUGCGAGCUAGGUGGUGGAAUGGCUGCGUGCUAUUCCAGUGCCGCAGGGAAGCCGUUAAGCUCGCCGCCUGGGGAGUACGGCCGCAAGGCUGAAACUUAAAGGAAUUGGCGGGGGAGCACCACAAGGGGUGAAGCCUGCGGUUCAAUUGGAGUCAACGCCGGGAACCUUACCGGGGGAGACAGCAGGAUGAAGGUCAGGUCGAAGACUUUACCAGACAAGCUGAGAGGAGGUGCAUGGCCGUCGCCAGCUCGUGCCGUGAGGUGUCCUGUUAGGUCAGGCAACGAGCGAGACCCCUGCUGCUAAUUGCUAACUUCACCCGAAAGGGUGAGGAGGCUAUUUAGCGGGACUGCUGCCGAUAAGGCGGAGGAAGGGAGGGGCCACGGCAGGUCAGUAUGCCCCGAAACCCCCGGGCCACACGCGGGCUGCAAUGGUAGGGACAAUGGGCUCCGACUUCGAAAGGAGGAGGCAAUCCCCAAACCCUACCCCAGUUGUGAUUGAGGGCUGCAACUCGCCCUCAUGAACCUGGA
rnacentral:rRNA from 1 species